rnacentral:rRNA from 1 species
CCGGCGACCGGCGCACGGGUGAGUAACACGUAUGCAACCUGGCCGUCACAGGUGGAUAACCGGAAGAAAUUCCGACUAAUACAGCAUAACACUCCUGAGGGACAUCCUUCGGGAGUCAAAGGAGGCAACUCCGGUGACGGAUGGGCAUGCGGCGCAUUAGGUAGUUGGUAGGGUAACGGCCUACCAAGCCGACGAUGCGUAGGGGUUCUGAGAGGAAGGUCCCCCACAUUGGAACUGCGACACGGUCCAAACUCCUACGGAAGGCAGCAG